CGUGUCUCUCUUCUCUCUCACUUUCUCUCUCUCUCUCUCUCCUACAACUCUCUCUCUCUCUUCGAUUUCGGGUUAGUUUUACGCCGGAUGGACAAACCGAAACCACCACGACGCUCCUGGCGAAAUUCUCUACAAGUUUGCCGGAACGGAUCGUCAGGAAAACGAAAUUGGAUUUCAUCCCAAAUCCAAGUUCCAGGGUGUUGAUUGGGAACGUGGGAAAUCAUCCCUAAGUUGAGGGUGUUGAGUUGAGAACCUUGUGGGUACGGGGGAGAUUUUCUUAGGGGCUUUUCAGGAAUCAGG